rnacentral:misc_RNA from 1 species
UGGCUAUUUCAUAAGCUGCUAAUUACAUAUAUGGUACACUAAUUUCUAAAUAUUACAUAGAGAGCGCAUAUUAAACUAUUCUAACUACUAAUAAUAACUAUAACGCCCUCUGUUGAUUAGUAAAAUGACCAUGAUGUCCUCCGCCGGCGAUCAUGGCCACUUCUCAUUGCUGCUAACUCCGUCCUUCCACUCUUCCUCCAUCGCCGUUCGGCUGUCCUAACGUAGCUCCGGUAUUCAAACGGCAGCUGCUUGCAUUACCAGCGGCAAAUGCAUCUGCAAUCGGCUUAAUUACCAAAGUAACCUCCCCAACCGUUAUACACCACGCAACAGCUAAGAACAUCACCAGCAUAGAAACACAAUGGAAUGGAUCAUCCGGCGGCCGAAUUGGUAAUGAUACUAAGCACAAAAUCUGCAAAGGCAACGCAAUCAUGAAAGAAGUCGCCAGCAAAUUCACUCGUACCUGAAUUUUUCUGUUAAUUACAAAGGAGAUAACUCUCCAACACGAAAUUACAAAGGCUAACAAGUACGCAACAGUAAAUCCCCCAAACAAAAUAGAACUAUACACAGGGUAAGUACAGAGCACCGUCUGGUUCCCCAAAUUAUCUGUUGAAACGAAGGAGCUAGAAUGCAGGUAUAUCGGUAGACGCUUCUGCAAUGGGGAGAAGAACACAGCAAGGAUCUGAAGCACCAAAAGAGGUAAACAAAUCGGCCAGACAACGAUAACAGCCCAAAUUCCACUUGGACUAUGUUUCUUAAUGGACACGUUUACUAAGAAAAGAAGGGUGGUUAAGAACGCCGGUUCAAAUAAGCCCACGGAGAGAACCACAUGAACUUUACACAGAUUUGCUUGUUGAUUUAGGGUUAGAGGUGGUAACAAAGGGAGUAUAUAAUUCCGGCGAAUGAAAUGUAGCCGGACAACUUCGUUUAACGCCCAAAGAAUAGCGAAAAAAACAAGGAGUAAACGAACGGUCCACAGAGAAUUGAAAUUUUUCAGAUGCGGAUAUUGACGAGAUCUGAGACGGAGAUGGAAGAUAAACACAAACGAAAGUAGAGAAAGAAGAAGAAGACCGGAAAUAAAACAAAUUGUGAUGAAAUCAAAUGUUCCGUCAAAAACAGGAGCAGAAGGAAAAAGGAAAGUUGAAUUCGAGUAGGGAUCUGG